AGUGCUGUUGUCAGUGAUGUAUCUGUUUGUCUGAAUGUAGUAUGACGUCACUAAGCAGUAAUUCGUCACUACCACUGAGACAACAGCUGU
ensembl:snoRNA Small nucleolar RNA SNORD70